GCUACAACUGUCGAAAAUUCAGCAUUAAAGGUAAAAGAGAAUAACCAUCGAUUUCAUAAUAGGUUGCCGACGACUAGGACAAAAGGUGAUACUGUUAGGGAACUGUGGAUCAAGUGACCAGGCCCGUUUUGCCCAUCGGAGUAAACCACUUCUUGGGGAUAUCAAAGAGACUAUACAUCAGGGAGAAGGUGAGACUUCACAGUAUGUUAAACACAUUUGAAUUAACCGAAAACUGGAAUACCAAACGUCUUAGUUCCUGAAUUUGACAGCCGAAACAACGGAGGAAGAGUGACACAAAUCUAAGUUAGAAUUCUCACUAUGAAAGCCGACAAAAGAGUUAGGCAGAUCUAAGAAGAAGACUUCUCAAGUUGGAAGGAAGAGGAUACCUAUUUCUGAAGAUCACUUCAACGAACUAGAAUCGGAUGAUCAAUCAAAAACUAAAAAGCUAAAUCCCCAUCACAUCGGACUAGUGGCGUAUAGGAUCGCUUUACUAUCACAAUGUUCGAACCUGCAUGAUGUGUUUCACAUAUUACAGCUUCAUAAAUACACUUUCGACCCAGUUAUGUCCUACAACCAGAAUCAGUCCAAGUAAGAGAAGGUCUGACGCUUCUAGUAACUCUGGUUAGGACUGAUGAUACUAGCAUUAAACGUUUACGCGGGAGAGAGGUUUUCUUAGUGAAAGUAGCUUGGUGUUGGGCUGGUAUUGAAGAAUACACCUAGAAGCUUGAGAGAGAGAUGCGGAAGGACUACCCACACCUCUAUUCAGGUAGCGCACUUUGAAUUUUGAGGACAAAAUUCCUAAUUAGGUGGGUAGGAUGUAAACCCCGCUAAAAUCGGUAUAUAAUUAGUCAAUAAAUCGAAUUUUCAAUAGGAAAAUUAAAUACGCAAAACUGAUAUCAAAUUAGGAUAGAGCUCGUCGAAACGAGAAUUUUGGUACCAAUUUCGAAAAGUUUGGCCCAAGAUUGGGCCGGAUGGGCCGAACUGGUUGAACCGGACCCAAAAUGGGCCCAAGGCCCAACCAAACCCAAUCCACUAAAGAGGCACAGCUUCUUAUUUCCUUUCUUCUUCAUUAUUCACGCUGGGAAACAUUCUUAGGGGGAAGAACACAAGCAAAAACCUAACCCUCACUUUAAUUUCAAAUCCAUGUAACUUUUGAUCCGGAGCUCCGAUUGACGAACCGUUUGCGACCACGCGUUCACCGUGACGAGCUCUAUGAAACCCAUGGAACAAUUUGGUUCAAGUUAGCUUCCGGAACUUGUGGGCUCAAGCUAUUGAGCAUAUGGGUAUGGUGUAGAUUAAGUGGGUAUAUAUGCAUUGGGAAUAUUUAGAGGCUUGUUGGUGAUCAAAGCUUAGUUUGUGGCUAUUUUACUUGAGCUUGAAGAGGCUGUAAUUUUGUGUUGAGAAGCUGCCUUGGGUGAAUUAAGUGAUCGGCCAAGAUGCAGGUCGAGAGGCUCCUCGCUAGGCGUCUGGAUUCUGGAAAGCGAAGUAGUUCUUGGGUGUAUUUUGGGUUCUAUUUGUAUAUAUGUAUAUAUAUGUGUAGCUUACUCUCCAAGUAACUUAUGUAUGCUGCUCCUCUUAGAGGUUGAGGGAGAGACAGGAGUUUACUUUGGUAUUUUGGUAUAUUUUGGGGACACUUAUGUAUGUUUAUAUGUAUAUAUGUAUCCUCCGAUCAGCCUUAGCUUCGCAGGCUGAGUCAGAGGCUAGUUAUGCUGUUCCUUGGCUUUUCUUUAUCCCUUCGUUUAUUGUUCUAUCAUAUUCCUAUUAGGUUUCUUAGCACGCAAGUAAUCCUAUUUCUUGAGCGUUGAGCUUUUUAUUUUGCGAUUCUUGUUUACCCACUUUGUUUCAAGGCUCCUAGUAUAUUAAUUUUUUUCAGUAUUAUAUGUAUAUCCUUACUAUUAGAGGUCUGUAAUACCACACUACCUCUGUUCUAUGACUUAAGCGUAAAACAUUGUGUAGUAGGGUGUUACAUUAUGGUAUCAGAGCAGUUCGUUCCUAUAGAGCCUGAGGGACAGACUGAUUAUGCCUCUGGGCAUUCUCUGGGUGUCUAUACAUGCGAUUUAGGGUAUCUAACUGAUAUACGAGGCAUGAAUGCUCAUGAGCAUGCAUUUGGGACUUUGAAAUACUAAACUUGAGAUAUUGAGACUGAUCACCUUGAUAUCACUUGUUUGGAGUGAACAGGAACCAAAUGGCAUCUCGUAGGCGCCGUCGUGAGCGUAAGCAAGGUCGAGGACGGAGAGCUGAUGAGGUGACUAUACCGGUAGGUAGUUUAACCGAUAUCGUGACCGCAAUGACGAGUGUUGUUGCUGCCGUUGGCGCUGUUGCUGUCGCGACCAUCCGAGUAAUGGAUGGGAUGCAACCACAAGCUGGAACUGGCAACAAUGAUGAUAAUGAAUAUGAAGGUGGACAUAAUGCUCCGAAUACAAGGGUACCACCGAGUUAUCUGGAGCAGGUUAACGUUGGUCAGGCAACGGGAGAAAGCUCAAGGAGGGCUGAGGUAGCAAGAAGUGAUCACCGAGGACCCUUCACAAAGAAAAAGGGAAAGAUUACACCGAGGAGCCAAACUUUCAAAAAGAAUCGCUUUGUCACUUCACAUUCUCAGCGCCGGAACAAUGACCGAAGGAACGAUAAUCGUUCGGACCCGAAUUCAGAAGGGCAAACUAGUGCUCAACCGGGUGACUUAAGGUGCUCAAGUUGCAAGAGGUACCAUCCAAACAGACCAUGCAGGGCAGGAUUAGGUGUAUGUUAUAAGUGCGGGAGGCCGGGGCAUAUGUCUUGGAAUUGUUCGUACAGAGGAAGCCGGGAUGCAACCGAACCCGAUUUUCAAA